rnacentral:rRNA from 1 species
GAUGAACGCUGGCGGCGUGCCUAAUACAUGCAAGUCGAGCGAACAGACGAGGAGCUUGCUCCUCUGACGUUAGCGGCGGACGGGUGAGUAACACGUGGAUAACCUACCUAUAAGACUGGGAUAACUUCGGGAAACCGGCGCUAAUACCGGAUAAUAUAUUGAACCGUAUGGUUCAAUAGUGAAAGACGGUUUUGCUGUCACUUAUAGAUGGAUCCGCGCCGCAUUAGCUAGUUGGUAAGGUAACGGCUUACCAAGGCGACGAUGCGUAGCCGACCUGAGAGGGUGAUCGGCCACACGGGAACUGAGACACGGUCCAGACUCCUACGGGAGGCAGCAGUAGGGAAUCUUCCGCAAUGGGCGAAAGCCUGACGGAGCAACGCCGCGUGAGUGAUGAAGGUCUUCGGAUCGUAAAACUCUGUUAUUAGGAAAGAACAAAUGUGUAAUUAACUAUGCACGUCUUGACGGUACCUAAUCAGAAAGCCACGGCUAACUACGUG